rnacentral:rRNA from 1 species
GGGCCUGCGGGCCAUUAGCUUGUUGGUGAGGUAACGGCUCACCAAGGCUGUGAUGGCUAGCUGGUCUGAGAGGAUGACCAGCCACACUGGGACUGAGACACGGCCCAGACUCCUACGGGAGGCAGCAGUGGGAAUAUUGCGCAAUGGGCGAAAGCCUGACGCAGCGACGCCGCGUGGGUGAUGAAGGGCCUUCGGGUCGUAAAGCCCUGUCGCAGGGGAAGAAUAAGCAUCGGUAUAAUACGCCGGUGCCCUGACGGUACCCUGCAAGAAAGCACCGGCUAACUCCGUG